GAUUAAUUAGAUAAUUAAUUAGACUUAAUAAAUUCGUCUUGUGGUUUCCAGGUGAGUUAUGAAAUUAGUUUUUUUAUUCGUAUCCGAAAACCCUCAUUCGUAUCAAAAACUUCUUCCGAUAUCCGGUCAAACGUCUGAUGUAACACCUAAAAAUUUUCUUUUUGCGAACUAAACCAGGCCGCAAUGCAAUGCAAUUCACUGCAACUGCAAUACUGCAUCCAUCCAUGCAUGCAUGCAGCUAGUAGCAGGGCUCUCAUCACAAUCUUUCUCACUGGCUCUGCUGCUGACUCCAGUAGUACUGGGCUACUAGCUGUAGUAGCCAGCUGUGACAGUGGUGAGCAUGGAUGGUUUCGUGUGUUUGCCCAGAGGACAAGAGGCCACUGUGGUAUUCAUCAACCUCUUGACGCCUCUCUUGUUUGCAAUCGCAGAGCUCGUCGUUUUUCAUCCACAUGCAUAGUGAGAUUCUUCCAUGGCUAAUUCUCGAUGUCUUAGGGGACCUGUGUGUUCAUGUGAAUUAUAGUUAGGCCUUGUUUAGGGAAGCUUUUAGUAGCUGCGGUUUCUUUUAGAAUCUCAUGCUCCUUCAAACAAUACAAAUUCUCGCAUAUAUUCUCCAGUUACUUGGAAUCUCAAGCCCCCUCCAAUAGAGCCUUAACCUUAGAAACUUUUCACAAAUGUGUAUACUACAUGAAUUGAACUGUUUUUUUAAAAAAAAUGCUCCAAAAGAUUAAUGCUUGCAAGAUGCCUGAAAAGUUUGAGGCUCCAAAUGCCAGUUUGGUACUCUGAACUCUGCAGGGUAACCUUCCCCUGUAGCCUGUAUAGGCAAUGGUAGCAACUAGCAAGGCACCAGCUUUCCAGAGAGGUUGCAAUGCAAUUGCAAUGGGACGAACAAGAACACGACGUACUCGCUAAGGAGAAGUAUACGCUGGUUGUCUAGUACUGUACUACUUGGCAUACGGCAGAGAGAAAGCUCACCAUCUUUCUACUUGGCACAAUCUUCUUGUACUUUUCCGUUUUCACUUUCACCGAGUAAAUUAUCAGGGCUAGGAGGAACACAGCCUUUUCAUCAUUAAAAGAGGCAGCAGGAGCAGAUCAGAGCAGACAUUUAGAUCUGUAAAGCAAUGCAACUGUGUGGAUAGCCUGAAUUGUUCAGCAGUAGUAGUAAUAGUAGUAUUUGCGCUGAAUUUUUCAGUAGUAUUUGCAGUGAAAACCAUACGUGUUUACGGUGAAAAUGCCAGGAACGGGCCGGCAUUGAAGACGAUGGGCCAGGAGGCAACGGCGGACGGGGCGGCGCUUGUUUUCUUCUUGCAUUGACGCCCAUUGCCUGAAAAUUUCAACUCCAUGUUCCUGAAUUCAGAGACAAUUUGCACCUUUCCUGCUUCA